GAUGAACGCUGGCGGCGUGCCUAAUACAUGCAAGUCGAGCGAACGGACGAGAAGCUUGCUUCUCUGAUGUUAGCGGCGGACGGGUGAGUAACACGUGGAUAACCUACCUAUAAGACUGGGAUAACUUCGGGAAACCGGAGCUAAUACCGGAUAAUAUUUUGAACCGCAUGGUUCAAAAGUGAAAGACGGUCUUGCUGUCCCUUAUAGAUGGAUCCGCGCUGCAUUAGCUAGUUGGUAAGGUAACGGCUUACCAAGGCAACGAUGCAUAGCCGACCUGAGAGGGUGAUCAGCCACACUGGAACUGAGACACGGUCCAGACUCCUACGGGAGGCAGCAGUAGGGAAUCUUCCGCAAUGGGCGAAAGCCUGACGGAGCAACGCCGCGUGAGUGAUGAAGGUCUUCGGAUCGUAAAACUCUGUUAUUAGGGAAGAACAUAUGUGUAAGUAACUGUGCACAUCUUGACGGUACCUAAUCAGAAAGCCACGGCUAACUACGUG
rnacentral:rRNA from 1 species